GCGACCCGCUAGGGGGCCGGAAGCUGUUUUGCCUGAAGGUUCGCGCGCCUUUUGGAAUUUAUUUAGCAAGCUGUGGAACCGGAUUCUUAACGAUUGGAGACACACGGCCAGUUACUUCAGUUCAGGCCAAAUGACCUUCAUAGGGAGCAAAGCUCAGUGUUCUGUGCCUCCUGUUAAGAGAGAGAGUCCGUGAAGGUUUCUUUUUUUAAUGGCCUCAGCUAAUGCCAUUUAACGCUUUUUGAGGAUGAGAAGGACUGGUCAAACCCACAUUUAUGCCAUCACCAUAUACUAUGGUUCUUCAUCUGCAAAGUCAGGGUAAUUGAGCUCAGGCUCGGCAGCCAGACAGCAUUUCUUUGAAUCCUGACUAUCAGUAGAUUUUCAGGAUCAAAGGGCUCCUGGCCAAGAAACAAGCAGAAUCGUCCCGUUCUCCUUUGACUUUGGAUGAAAACUGGCAAUAAAAUCAGGCCCAAUUCCAAGAGGAGAUAUUAGAGAGCUGUUGGAGUUCGGAGCUUAUUUUGGGCAUGACAAGAUGAAGACAAACAUUUUAGGUAUGUAGUUGAGGAAGAACAGUUUAGGACAAACUGCUUCUUAACCAGAGAAAACAGUGGUUGACCUAUUCUUGUGUGAUGUCUUACUUGGCUGCCAUAGAAAAGUGGACAAGGAUUUCAAGCUAAAUGGAGGUAAUUCUUUGGGUUGAUCUUGUGACUACUCCUUAACAAACCUUCAUUUGGUAGCCUCGGCAUAGGAAUAAGAGCUUCUUGUUGAGGAAGACCAUUCCUCUAACUCUACUAUCCAAGAUAGUAACAAAAAUAAUAUAUUCUGAGGGGUGAAGAGAGGCAGGCACAGGAUUGGAUACCAAAAUAAGACAAGCUGGUUCAGACUGGACUGGUUAAACUUCAAGAUUGGAAAAUGGAGUAGAUGAAGAAGUGAU